CAACAGGGAUUGCCUUAGUAACGGCGAGUGAAGCGGCAACAGCUCAAAUUUGAAAUCUGGCGUCUUUGGCGUCCGAGUUGUAAUUUGUAGAGGAUGCUUCGGCGUAGGCGCCGCCUAAAGUUCCUUGGAACGGGACGUCGUAGAAGGUGAUAGCCCUGUGACAGGGCGGAUGCCGUCGCCAUGUGAAGCUCCUUCGACGAGUCGAGUUGUUUGGGAAUGCAGCUCAAAACGGGAGGUAAAUUUCUUCUAAAGCUAAAUACCGGCCGGAGACCGAUAGUGCACAAGUAGAGUGAUCGAAAGAUGAAAAGCACUUUGGAAAGAGAGUCAAACAGCGCGUGAAAUUGUUAAAAGGGAAGCGCUUGCGGUCAGAACUUGGCCGCCGUUGCUCGGGGAGGUCUCGUGCCUCCCUCGCUCUUCGGCGGCUGGGCCAGCAUCGGUUCGGGCGGCUCGAUAAAGGCCGCGGGAACGUAGCUCCCUCCGGGGAGUGUUAUAGCCCGCGGCGGAAUGGGGCCCGCCUGGAUCGAGGUCUGCGCAUCUGCUCGGAUGCUGGCGUAAUGGCCUCAAGCGGCCCGUCUUGAAACACGGACCAAGGAGUCUAACAUUCGUGCGAGUGUUCGGGUGUCAAACCCGUGCGCGCAAUGAAAGUGAACGUAGGUGGGAACCCCUCGUGGGCGCACCAUCGACCGAUCCUGAUGUCUUCGGAUGGAUUUGAGUAUGAGCACGUAUGUUGGGACCCGAAAGAUGGUGAACUAUGCGUAAACAGGGCGAAGCCAGAGGAAACUCUGGUGGAGGCUCGCAGCGGUUCUGACGUGCAAAUCGAUCGUCAAAUUCGCGCAUAGGGGCGAAAGA
rnacentral:rRNA from 1 species